ACAAGACUUUGGUAGUGACAGCCCUUUAUCAGUGGUGUGACAACCUCCCCACAUCUUCAGGGAUGCCUGACACACUGAUCUGUCCCUCUCUGUGCCCCUCCCCAUUGGAUGUCUCUUCCAUGAGGACAGGCAGGCUGUCUCCUCUGGGCACUACUCUCUUGGGAAGACAGGAGCUGCUCUAUGAGCACCUGACCCAGGAGGGAAAAAGCAGGCUGUGUCUCCCACUGAGAGUUCCCAUGGGCCUCCUCACAACUCAGAUUUCAGCUUGUGCACCUACCUGCUGUCUAACCCUUCAGGGCCCCUGCCUGGGUCUCCUCCUGCCCCUGCCACUCACCUCCCAUACGGCAGGCUGAGCCAUCCCCUCAGACUCACUGGGUCCCCUGAGCACCAGCUGAGUCCCCACCAUUGAGGCUCCACCAGGCAGAGAGCAGGCUGCUCUCCACCUCUUGUGUGCUGGGUCCCAGGGAGGGGAUGGAGGCAGGGCUGAGACAGAGAGGGAAUGGCUGUGCAUUCUCUGAGGGGCUGACUCUGUCCUCUGACAUCCUGAAUGCUCCUCACAGCACCAAAGCCUUGUCCAUGGCCCUCUGGUCCUCCUUUCUUCUUUGCCAGGCUAAGCCCUAAGAUUUCUGCUCUCAAGCCAGAAUCAUAAGUUGUAUGGGGCCAUGGUUUUGCCUGCUCCUUCCCAUUGACUAAGCCCCAGCUCCAUGCUGUUUUUGGAGCAGGAAACUCACUCCUUCCUCAAAGAAAUUCA